GGGGGCGAAAAGGUUUCGACGGGAAUACUGAAGCGAAGGUUGCAUGUCCAGGAUGCCGUUGGCCUGGUAAAAAAACGGCACAAUCAUAAUCGCCAAUGAUUAUGAAUAUGCUUUAGCUGCUUAAUUAACAGCUAACGUCCUUUUAGCCUUUGUCCGCGGGGUUAAAAAGGGCGUCGCACUGCGGACUGGUCAGACUGUUUUGCCUUGAGGCGGUCUGGCGAGAUUUUUUCAAGGCUGGCGUCCAAAGAGCCCUGCCUGUUGGGAACGAAGACGCGAGACUUCAUAAACAGGAAAAGCAUGUAGGAGCCUUACGUGAAUGGUUUUCGGACGCGGGUUCGAUUCCCGCCGCCUCCACCA
rnacentral:tmRNA from 1 species